rnacentral:misc_RNA from 1 species
UUUCCGUAGGUGAACCUGCGGAAGGAUCAUUACCGAGUUAGGGUGCUUCUCAGCGCCCGACCUCCCAACCCUUUGUGAACACAUCUCGUUGCUUCGGGGGCGACCCUGCCGGCACUCGGUCGCCGGGCGCCCCCGAAGGUCUCCCAACACUGCAUCUUUGCGUCGGAGUUUAAAACAAAUCAAACAAAACUUUCAACAACGGAUCUCUUGGUUCUGGCAUCGAUGAAGAACGCAGC